rnacentral:rRNA from 1 species
UGUGGAUGCCUUAGGUUCAUAUGCACAAUGGGCGCUUUACGAUGCGAAACGUUGUAUCUGAGACAUCAUUCUGACAGGUACAAAUCCCCACAGUGGUAAACCACAUUAUUUUGACACGAGGAGAACUGAAACAUCUAAAUAUCCUCUAGGAAAAGAAAUCAACCGAGAUUCCGUUAGUAUUGGCGAAAGAACGCGGACAAGGCAUAUGUUUAUGAAAUUGAAAAACAUGUUGGAAUACAUAGACCAGAGAAGGUAAAAGUCCUGUAUUAUGCCUUUCAUAAUCAUGAAGAGUAGAACGUUAAACUGUUUGAAAAUAGGAGAACCACCUUCUAAGCCUACAUAUGCAUAUGAGACCGAUAGUGAACAAGUACUGUGAAGGAAAGGUGAAAAGAACCCUCUUGUAUAGGGAGUGAAAAGAUCUGAAACAAAAUACAUACAAUCAAUCGAUAUAUUAAAAAAAUGUAUCGGUGUACCUUUUGCAUAAUGGGUCAGCGACUAAAUGUGUGCAGCUUGCUUAAGCAAAGAUGUGGAGGCAAAGCAAAAGCGAGUAGGUUUUCCUGCGUUUGUUGCAUGCAUUUGACCCGAAACUAAGUGAUCUCGUUUUGAGCAGGUUGAAGAAAGCGUAAAGUCUUUUGGAGGACCGAACCGACGUCUGUAGCAAUAGGCGCGGAUGACUUGAUACGAGGGGUGAAAGGCCAAUCAAACUUAGAAAUAGCUGGUUCUUCGCGAAAUUUAUUGAGGUAAAGCGUCUAUUAAAUCUUUCUGGGGGUAGAGCACUUAUUGAGCUAUGGGGGUCCAAAACCUUACUGCUCUCAAGAAAACUCCGAAUACCAGUAAAGUAUAAUAGGCAGACAGACAAGCAGUGCUAAGGUUGCUUGUCGAAAGGGAAACAGCCCAGCCUGGCCGCUAAGGUCCCAAAGCAUUCUGUGAGUGGGAAAAGAUGUGAUACAACGAUGACAACUAGGAGGUUGGCUUGGAAGCAGCCAUUCUAUCAUGAAAGCGUAAUAGCUCACUAGUCGAGUUGUCUUGCGCUGAAAAUGUAUCGGGGCUGAACAGAAUCACCGAAGCGCCAGUUUUUAGGUAGCGAAGCGUUUUGUGCGCCAAUGAACACAUAUCGUAAGAUGUGUGGAAGGUCUCAAAAGUGACUAUGCUGACAUGAGUAACGAAAAAUCAUGUAAAGCCAUGAUCGCCGUAAGUUCAAGGGUUUCUGCUAACUGGGAAUCAGUGCAGAGUUA